rnacentral:rRNA from 1 species
GACGAACGCUGGCGGCGUGCUUAACACAUGCAAGUCGAACGGUGAAGCGCCUUCCUUUUUGGUGGGUGUGGAUGAGUGGCGAACGGGUGAGUAACACGUGAGUAACCUGCCCCCUUCUUCUGGAUAACCGCAUGAAAGUGUGGCUAAUACGGGAUAUUCUGGGUCUGUCGCAUGAUGGGUCUGGGAAAGAUAUUGUUUCGGUGGGGGAGGGGCUCGCGGCCUAUCAGCUUGUGGGUGGGGUGAUGGCCUACAAAGGCGGUGACGGGUAGCCGGCCUGAGAGGGUGGACGGUCACACUGGGACUGAGACACGGCCCAGACUCCUACGGGAGGCAGCAGUGGGGAAUAUUGCACAAUGGGCGCAAGCCUGAUGCAGCGACGCCGCGUGAGGGAUGGAGGCCUUCGGGUUGUGAACCUCUUUCGCCAGUGAAGCAGGCCUGCCUCGUUUGUGGGUGGGUUGACGGUAGCUGGAUAAGAAGCGCCGGCUAACUACGUG